rnacentral:misc_RNA from 1 species
UCAAACUUGGUCAUUUAGAGGAAGUAAAAGUCGUAACAAGGUUUCCGUAGGUGAACCUGCGGAAGGAUCAUUACCGAGUGAGAAAGUCGUAUUGAAAAGACGACUUUCGUACACAUCCUUAAACCCUUUGUGAACUUUCCUGUUGCUUUGGCGGGACACCGGUUUUGGAAGUCUUGAUCUUGGGUCAGGAUUGAUGGGAUUGGCCUAAUGACAGUUUCGAUUGUCGUCAGGAGUGCCCGCCAAAGGAUUUUAUAAAACUCGUUUUUCUAUACAUUUUGUUUUUUACUUUUUCAAAAGAAUAAAAUUAUAAAACUUUCAGCAACGGAUCUCUUGGCUCUCGCAUCGAUGAAGAACGCAGC